GGGCGCAGCCUGAUCCAGCCAUGCCGCGUGAGUGAUGAAGGCCCUAGGGUUGUAAAGCUCUUUUGUGCGGGAAGAUAAUGACGGUACCGCAAGAAUAAGCCCCGGCUAACUUCGUGCCAGCAGCCGCGGUAAUACGAAGGGGGCUAGCGUUGCUCGGAAUCACUGGGCGUAAAGGGUGCGUAGGCGGGUCUUUAAGUCAGG
rnacentral:rRNA from 1 species